GGAUGUGAGGGCGAUCUGGCUGCGACAUCUGUCACCCCAUUGAUCGCCAGGGUUGAUUCGGCUGAUCUGGCUGGCUAGGCGGGUGUCCCCUUCCUCCCUCACCGCUCCAUGUGCGUCCCUCCCGAAGCUGCGCGCUCGGUCGAAGAGGACGACCUUCCCCGAUAGAGGAGGACCGUUCUUCGGUCAAGGGUAUACGAGUAGCUGCGCUCCCCUGCUAGAACCUCCAAACAAGCUCUCAAGGUCCAAUUGUAGGAGAACGUAGGGUAGUCAAGCUUCCAAGACUCCAGACACAUCCAAAUGAGGCGCUGCACGUGGCAGUCUGCCUUUCUUU
rnacentral:snRNA from 1 species